rnacentral:rRNA from 1 species
UGAACGCUGGCGGCAGGCUUAACACAUGUCAAGUCGAGCGGCAGAGAAGGACUUGCUGCCUAACUUAGCGGCGGACGGGUGAGUAAUGCUUAGGAAUCUGCCUAUUAGUGGGGGACAACAUUUCGAAAGGAAUGCUAAUACCGCAUACGUCCUACGGGAGAAAGCAGGGGAUCUUCGGACCUUGCGCUAAUAGAUGAGCCUAAGUCGGAUUAGCUAGUUGGUGGGGUAAAGGCCUACCAAGGCGACGAUCUGUAGCGGGUCUGAGAGGAUGAUCCGCCACACUGGGACUGAGACACGGCCCAGACUCCUACGGGAGGCAGCAGUGGGGAAUAUUGGACAAUGGGCGGAAGCCUGAUCCAGCCAUGCCGCGUGUGUGAAGAAGGCCUUAUGGUUGUAAAGCACUUUAAGCGAGGAGGAGGCUACUUUAGUUAAUACCUAGAGAUAGUGGACGUUACUCGCACAAUAAGCACCGGCUAACUCUGUGCCAGCUUCCCCGGUAAUACAGAGGGUGCAAGCGUUAAUCGGAUUUACUGGGCGUAAAACGCGCGUAGGCGGGUAAUUAAGCCCAAUGUGAAAUCCCCGAGCUUAACUUGGGAAUUGCAUUCCCUACUGGGUUGCUAUUAGUGUGGGAGAGGAUGGUAGAAUUCCAGGUGUAGCGGUGAAAUGCGUAGAGAUCUGGAGGAAUACCGAUGGCGAAGGCAGCCAUCUGGCCUAACACU